UGGGGAAUAUUGCACAAUGGGCGAAAGCCUGAUGCAGCGACGCCGCGUGCGGGAUGAAGGCCUUCGGGUUGUAAACCGCUUUUAAUUGGGAGCAAGCGAGAGUGAGUGCACCUUUUGAAUAAGCACCGGCUAACUACGUGCCAGCAGCCGCGGUAAUACGUAGGGUGCAAGCGUUAUCCGGAAUUAUUGGGCGUAAAGAGCUCGUAGGCGGUUUGUCACGCCUGGUGUGAAAGUCCAUCGCUUAACGGUGGAUCUGCGCCGGGUACGGGCAGGCUAGAGUGCAGUAGGGGAGAUUGGAAUUCCCGGUGUAACGGUGGAAUGUGUAGAUAUCGGGAAGAACACCAAUGGCGAAGGCAGAUCUCUGGGCUGUUACUGACGCUGAGGAGCGAAAGCAUGGGGAGCGAACAGGAUUAGAUACCCUGGUAGUCCAUGCCGUAAAACGGUGGAUGCUGGAUGUGGGACCCUUCCACGGGUUCCG
rnacentral:rRNA from 1 species